rnacentral:tmRNA from 1 species
CGUUGCGGACCCGGGGGCGGUACCCGGCGCCUCCACCAUUUUCUUUUGGCACCCGCGCCAGGCGGGACCACAUGGGGGCGAAACAGGAUCGACGCGCGUGGUAAAGGCAGCGCUUUUGCCCGGUAUGAUACCACCGUUAUCGGGUCACACUCUAUGUGCGAACGACAAUGAGUACGCACUCGCUGCUUAGAUAAGCAAGCGCGGCCCGGGGGGCGCCGGGCAACAGAAGCCCCCCACC